rnacentral:rRNA from 1 species
CCCUUAGAUGUCCUGGGCCGCACGCGCGUUACACUGAUGCAUUCAACGAGCUUAUAACCUUGGCCGAGAGGCCUGGGCAAUCUUGUUAACGUGCAUCGUGAUAGGGAUCGAUUAUUGAAAUUAUUAAUCUUGAACGAGGAAUUCCUAGUAAACGCAGAUCAUCAAUCUGCAUUGAUUACGUCCCUGCCCUUUGUACACACCGCCCGUCGCACCUACCGAUUGGAUGGUCCGGUGAAGCCUCGGGAUUGUGGUUCUUGCCGCUUUAUUGUGGCGUGACCGCGAGAACUUGUCUAAACCUUAUCAUCUAGAGGAAGGUGAAGUCGUAACA